rnacentral:rRNA from 1 species
UCAUCUUCGGGGGUAGAGCACUGUUUCGGCUAGGGGGUCAUCCCGACUUACCAACCCGAUGCAAACUACGAAUACCGAAGAAUGUUAUCACGGGAGACACACGGCGGGUGCUAACGUCCGUCGUGAAGAGGGAAACAACCCAGACCGCCAGCUAAGGUCCCAAAGUCAUGGUUAAGUGGGAAACGAUGUGGGAAGGCACAGACAGCCAGGAUGUUGGCUUAGAAGCAGCCAUCAUUUAAAGAAAGCGUAAUAGCUCACUGGUCGAGUCGGCCUGCGCGGAAGAUGUAACGGGGCUAAACCAUGCACCGAAGCUGCGGCAGCGACACUAUGUGUUGUUGGGUAGGGGAGCGUUCUGUAAGCCUGCGAAGGUGUGCUGUGAGGCAUGCUGGAGGUAUCAGAAGUGCGAAUGCUGACAUAAGUAACGAUAAAGCGGGUGAAAAGCCCGCUCGCCGGAAGACCAAGGGUUCCUGUCCAACGUUAAUCGGGGCAGGGUGAGUCGACCCCUAAGGCGAGGCCGAAAGGCGUAGUCGAUGGGAAACAGGUUAAUAUUCCUGUACUUGGUGUUACUGCGAAGGGGGGACGGAGAAGGCUAUGUUAGCCGGGCGACGGUUGUCCCGGUUUAAGCAUGUAGGCUGGUUAUCCAGGCAAAUCCGGAUAAUCAAGGCUGAGGUGUGAUGACGAGGCACUACGGUGCUGAAGUAACAAAUGCCCUGCUUCCAGGAAAAGCCUCUAAGCAUCAGGUAACAUUAAAUCGUACCCCAAACCGACACAGGUGGUCAGGUAGAGAAUACCAAGGCGCUUGAGAGAACUCGGGUGAAGGAACUAGGCAAAAUGGUGCCGUAACUUCGGGAGAAGGCACGCUGGUGUGUAGGUGAAGUCCCUGCGGAUGGAGCUGAGACCAGUCGAAGAUACCAGCUGGCUGCAACUGUUUAUUAAAAACACAGCACUGUGCAAACACGAAAGUGGACGUAUACGGUGUGACGCCUGCCCGGUGCCGGAAGGUUAAUUGAUGGGGUUAUCCGUAAGGAGAAGCUCUUGAUCGAAGCCCCGGUAAACGGCGGCCGUAACUAUAACGGUCCUAAGGUAGCGAAAUUCCUUGUCGGGUAAGUUCCGACCUGCACGAAUGGCGUAAUGAUGGCCAGGCUGUCUCCACCCGAGACUCAGUGAAAUUGAACUCGCUGUGAAGAUGCAGUGUACCCGCGGCAAGACGGAAAGACCCCGUGAACCUUUACUAUAGCUUGACACUGAACAUUGAGCCUUGAUGUGUAGGAUAGGUGGGAGGCUUUGAAGCGUGGACGCCAGUCUGCGUGGAGCCAACCUUGAAAUACCACCCUUUAAUGUUUGAUGUUCUAACGUUGGCCCCU